CAACAACAGAACGUAAACAGGAGGAGGGAGGUGGGGGGAAGGGUAAGAACACGACAUCCUCAUCCGCAUCUGUCACCAUGGGGAGUCCGUCCGUCAUGUCCGUGGAUCAGCAACCCAUGACUCCAAGCAAUCACUCUGCACGGCCCCACUGUAAGGAUGUCAACCUUCAGCGACGGCUGACCCCUCUCAGACCUCCAAGGGGCCACCAUCCCAGCUGCCCUCAUCAGCUGCUCCAAGUGGAACUCUGACUGAUGGAGUUGGCAGCGUCCACGCCCCGCCUCAUUAAGACCUGGUCCGCGGGCAGCCGGCUCCAGGUCCCUGCCCCGGUGUCACAUUACAGGAUAAUUACGCUCAGAUUAGUUUCUCACACCCUCUGGACAGAGACAUGCUAAUGUGGAUUCUUAGACAUUAAAAUCUUAUAAAGUUCUCUA